rnacentral:misc_RNA from 1 species
CGUUUAUCAGAGGUUCCACAGUUAGUACCUGACCACCACAGUACGACGUGUUUCUACCCUGUGUGACGCCACCAACAAGCACCUCCUCCUGCCACCAUGACCCUUCACCUGCUGUUGCUGCUCUCCCUCACGACUACCUUAGUAUACUCAGGUCGUGUAUAUGAGGAUAAUGAUGAGUGUUUCCAAGGCUAUUUCCAGUGUGCUAACGGCGUGUGUGUACCCAACUAUGUGGUGUGCGACGGCGUGUUGAACUGUGUUACCGGCAGCGAUGAGGUCAACUGUACCUUAAGUAAGGGGGACUGUUUUGACGGGUACUUCCAGUGUGCUGAUGGUGUGUGUGUCCCCAACUCAGUGGUGUGUGACGGUGUGUUCAAUUGUGUCACAGGCAACGACGAGGCCAACUGUUCAUAGCCCAGACGUGUGAUUACCGUCCACCUACAACAUGGCUGACGUCACGACUAUGAGAUGCAACCAACCUAUUGCACCAAUGUUGUUAUAAUGUAUUACUACGUUUCAACAACUAAUGUUUUGAAAUGCGUGUUGUAAUAUCUGAUCAACAAUUAAAAAUCAAGAUAAAUA